rnacentral:tRNA from 1 species
AAGGCUUUAAGUUAAAUAAACUAAUAGCCUUCAAAGCUGUAAAUAAAGAAAUUACUUUAAGCCUUA